GGUGCUUGCACCUCUUGAGAGCGGCGGACGGGUGAGUAAAGCCUAGGAAUCUGCCUGGUAGUGGGGGAUAACGCUCGGAAACGGACGCUAAUACCGCAUACGUCCUACGGGAGAAAGCAGGGGACCUUCGGGCCUUGCGCUAUCAGAUGAGCCUAGGUCGGAUUAGCUAGUUGGUGAGGUAAUGGCUCACCAAGGCGACGAUCCGUAACUGGUCUGAGAGGAUGAUCAGUCACACUGGAACUGAGACACGGUCCAGACUCCUACGGGAGGCAGCAGUGGGGAAUAUUGGACAAUGGGCGAAAGCCUGAUCCAGCCAUGCCGCGUGUGUGAAGAAGGUCUUCGGAUUGUAAAGCACUUUAAGUUGGGAGGAAGGGCAUUAACCUAAUACGUUAGUGUUUUGACGUUACCGACAGAAUAAGCACCGGCUAACUCUGUGCCAGCAGCCGCGGUAAUACAGAGGGUGCAAGCGUUAAUCGGAAUUACUGGGCGUAAAGCGCGCGUAGGUGGUUCGUUAAGUUGGAUGUGAAAUCCCCGGGCUCAACCUGGGAACUGCAUUCAAAACUGUCGAGCUAGAGUAUGGUAGAGGGUGGUGGAAUUUCCUGUGUAGCGGUGAAAUGCGUAGAUAUAGGAAGGAACACCAGUGGCGAAGGCGACCACCUGGACUGAUACUGACACUGAGGUGCGAAAGCGUGGGGAGCAAA
rnacentral:rRNA from 1 species